rnacentral:lncRNA from 1 species
UUUUUUGAGGGACAUGGCUAAUUUGAUGCCCACAUCUCUCUCUCUCUCUCUCUCUUACUCUCACAUGCAUCUUUCAAAUCACCUUUUGUUUUUUCUAUAGAAAACAAACGGAAGCUUGGGCUAGAUUUUUUGUUGCUAGUUUCCAAACCUCUCUUCCUUUUUUUUCUUACAAAUACAAUGACGGGGGGGAGUUGAUACCAAUCAUCUCUUCAUGAAAGGUUAUGUUAGUCUCCUUGGAGUAAUUGAUUUAGGGUUUUUUUUUUUUUUUACUUGAUUUCAUUCACUCUCGCUUUUUUCACCUCUAAAUAUCUUUUCUUUUAACCAGAUAUUUGGUAUGUUUUUCUUAACUGAUAUAUAUUUUUUUUUCAAUAUUGUUUUAUUUUUAUUUCUUCUAUUCUUCUUUGAGCUUGGUGUUCAACAAUACUAGGUUUGAUGCCUUUAUAUAUACAACAACUGGAGAAUUUUUCAUGGUUCUAAUUAAGCUUUGGCAAUUUACUCUCACUUUUUUCACCUCUGCAUAUCUUCUCUUUUGCCCUCCUUCAUCCUUUUUUCUUUGGUACCAUCCUUCAUUCCCAUGGCAUGUAAGAAGUAAGAACACUCCAAUCCACCAUUAAUGUCACAGAGCCUUGCUAGAUCUCGUCCUUGAACCCACUCCUCUACAAGAAAACCUUGAAUUCCCAUUUCAGAAAAAGGCUAAACUCUAAUUUACCUUAAGUGGUAAAGAAUCGAAAGAGGUCACAUGGGAGACGAAAAAGAUGCAAGGAGAGUGCAUGCCUUGCUGUCGCUUCAGUGAUGAUGAAGAUUGUGAUGCUGGCAGUGAUGCUUCUAAAAUGGAUUAGAGAAUAUGAGAAACCUAAAAAUGUAUAUUCUUUUAUGGUUUAUAUUUUGUUUAUUGGGUUUGAUUGCGAGCAUUUAAGUGUAGUUUUAGUUCUUGAUGGGCUGUAGAUUUUUUUUCUCGAGAUUUUCCUCUGUUUCUUCUUUUAUGGGAUUUGAUUCCUUUUGUUUAGUUGUUGUUUAUAUGUUAUUGUCUAGAAUAAAUGCAGAGAAGAGAGGAUUUGUUGAAGAUUAUAGGCCAAUUUGUUGAGAAUAAUUAAUUGUUAAGAUGCUUGAGCUUUCGUUUUUUUUCCUUGCUGUUUUAAGUUCUUACUUCUUAGGGAUAGAUUUUGUGGUCCUCUUCAAUUGUUGUUGUCCAUGGUAUAUUACGUUAUUUUCUAUUUUUAAUUAUG